AAUUAAGGUAUAUACAUUGUUUAGGCAUAAUGCUAUUGUACACAUAAUAGACAUAUAAGAUAGUAUGAACAUAAGUUUUAUAUGCACUGGAAAACCAACAAAUUUGUGUGACUCGCUUUACUGCAGUGGUCUGCCUCUACGUGUUAAUCAGCCAAGCCUGGGUAUUUCUCAGCGUCAUUAAGAUACUGCCUUUGGGGCUUAGAUCACCACGUUAAAGGUUGAUCUAAAAGGUUGAUCUAGGAGAUGAACUUACGGAACAGUUUAAUAAGUGGUGACUUUUUGCAUAUGAAUCGCCUCAAAUUUAGCCACCAGGUACUCUGUGUACAGUGUCUUUUUCAUAGGAGAUCCUCUUGUGCUG